GGGAAGGUUGGGGAAACUUUAUCCCCAACUCUCAUGACCUUUCUCCAAUUAGGCUGUGUAAUGAGAAGAAAGGCAAACGAAGGAGAAAGGAGUUCGGAGGAACGGCCCUGGGUGCUGGCCUUUUCCAAAGAGUCUCACUGUCACCCAUGCUGGAGUGCAGGGAUAAUCACAGCUCAUGACAGCCUCAACCUUCCCGGCUCAGAUAAUGAGGCACAAGAGAAACUGAAGAUCAUCUAUAUUUGAUUUUGGAAAAGAAUCACAAAUAAAUUUUAAAGUACACACUAAUAAAGUCUAUUCCUGACAUAAGGUCCUGCCAAUAUAGUGCUGUCUACAGGUCAUCUACUUCACUCCGACCAAGCCAAAGGAAGUCAAAUUACUCAAGUCAAUUACUGAUGAUUCAUUGGAUCAUAUCCAAAAAAGUGACCUAGCAGAGAUUUAUGAAUAGCUUAUUAUCCAUAUGCCUCUGAAUAAAGCCUGUGGAUCUCAGGGAUUAUAUCCCAACAUGGACUUUUUAAUCAAGAAGGCCUCUCUCACAUCCUUUGUAGGAGGAUGGCUUCUAAAGGCUGAAGUGGGGAAAGCAAAGUCACUGGCUCAGCAGCAGACUCUGUCAACAUAAUCAUGGAUUUCAUGGGGUGUGUCCCCGAAGGGCUCUCCUAGUCUUCUCAAAAAGUCCUCCACUAAAAAUGUUUAUUCUGACUAGCCUUACAACAAAACAAAAUCAAGGCCGGGCGCGGUGGCUCACACCUAUAAUCCCAGCACUUUGGGAGGCCGAGGCAGGAGGAUCACGAGGUCAAGAGAUCGAUACCAUCCUGGUCAACGAGGUGAAACCCUGUCUCUACUAAAAAUACAAAAAUUAGCUGGGCAUGGUGGUACGCACCUGUAGUCCCAGCUACUCGGGAGGCUGAGGCAGGAGAAUUGCUUGAACCCAGAAGGCAGAGGUUGCGGUGAGCCAAGAUCGUGCCACUGCACUCCAGUCUGGGUAACAACAGCAAAACUCCGUCUCAAACAAAAACAAAAACAUGUAUUCAAGCCGAAUGCAGUGGCUCAUGCCUGUAAUCCUGGCACUUUGGGAGGCGGAGGCAAGAGGAUCUCUCGAGCCCCAGAGUUCAAUACUAGCUUGGGUAACAUAGUGAGACCCCCGUCUCAACAAAAAAUAAAGAUUAACUGAGCAUGGUGGUGUGCACCUGUAGUCCCAGCUACUUGGGAGGCUGAGGGAAGAGGAAUGCUUGAGCCCAGGAGUUCAAGGCUACAGUAAGUUAUGAUUGGGCCAUGGCACUCCAGACUGGGCAACAGAUUAUGCUCUUAAAAAAAAUAAAAACUUAAAAAAAAAAAAAGUUUAUUCAUCCUUUUUUUUUUUGGAGACGGAGUCUCACUCUAUCACCAGGCUGGAGGACAGUGGCAUGAUCUUGGCUCAUCACAAUCUCCGAUUCCCUGGUUCAAGCAAUUCUCCUGCCUCAGUCUCCCAAGUAGCUGGGAGGCACCCGCCACCAUGCCAAGCUAAUUUUUGCAUUUUUAGUAGAGAUCGAGUUUCACCAUCUUGGCCAGGCUGGUCUUGAACUCCUGAUCUUGUGAUCUACCCGCCUUGGCCUCCCAAAGUGCUGUGAUUACAGGCAUGAGCCAUGGCACCCUGCGAGACUCGGUCUUUUAAAAAAAUUGGGGCCAGGAGUGAAAAAAACAAAAUAAAAUAAAAAAAUUGGGGCCAGGCAUAGCAGCUCAUAUCUAUAAUCCCAGCACUUUGGGAGGCUGAGGCAGGCAAAUCACUUGAGGUCAGCAGUUCGAGACCAGCCUGGCCGAACUGGUAUAAAAACCCCAUUUCUACCAAAAAUACAAAAAAAUUAGCUGGGUAUGGUGGCAUGCACCUGUAGUCCCAGCUACUCAGGAAGCUGAGGCAGGAGAAACACUUGAACCCAGGAGGUAGAGGUUGCAGUGAGCCAAGAUCGUGCCACUGCACUCCAGCCUGGGCAACAGAACAAGACUCCAUCUCAAAAAAUAAAUUAAAUAAAUUUUUAAAAAUUGGGACAAUGUUUGAGGUUUGCUCCAUAAUAAUCCAGGAAGGAGAAAGGCAGUAGAUGACAACAUUCAGUGGCUCUCUCGGCCAGAAACAAUUUUGCCUCCCAGGGACACUGCACAAUGCCUGGAGAUAUUUUUAGUAGUCACAACUGGAGGUUGCUACUGGCAUCUAGUUGACAGAUGCCAGGGAUGUUGUUAAACAUCCUGCAACUCACAGAAAGACCCCCACAGCAAAGGCUCAUCCAGGCUUAAAUGCCAACAGUAUCAAGGUUGAGAAAACUAGAAUAAAUGCGACAAGAGUGCUACAGUUAAGCAACAGGAAGUGAAGGGUGAGGAAAUUCAGAAUUGGAAAUUCAUUAAGCUUGUCUAUUUUAUUUGAAAAUUUUCAUAAUAGUGUUGCCUCAUAAUUUAUUAUUAUUGUUUUUUGAGAUGA